CGUGGGUAACCUGCCCAUCAGAGGGGGAUAACAUUCGGAAACGGAUGCUAAAACCGCAUAGGUUCUACAGUCGCAUGACUGAAGAAGGAAAAGAGGCUUCGGCUUCUGCUGAUGGAUGGACCCGCGGUGCAUUAGCUAGUUGGUGAGGUAACGGCUCACCAAGGCCGUGAUGCAUAGCCGACCUGAGAGGGUGAUCGGCCACAUUGGGACUGAGACACGGCCCAA
rnacentral:rRNA from 1 species